rnacentral:rRNA from 2 species
UUGUGCGAUCGUACCAGCAUUAAUGUACCGGAUCCCAUCAGAACUCCGCAGUUAAGCGUGUUUUGGCGAGAGUAGUAUUAAGAUGGGUGACCUCCCGGAAAAUCCUCGUGUUUCACUCC